UACGUAGGGUGCAAGCGUUGUCCGGAAUUAUUGGGCGUAAAGAGCUCGUAGGCGGUUUGUCGCGUCGACUGUGAAAACCCGAGGCUUAACCUCGGGCCUGCAGUCGAUACGGGCAGACUAGAGUUCGGUAGGGGAGACUGGAAUUCCUGGUGUAGCGGUGAAAUGCGCAGAUAUCAGGAGGAACACCAAUGGCGAAGGCAGCUCACUGGGACUGUACUGACGCUGAGACGCGAAAGCGUGGGGAGCAAACAGG
rnacentral:rRNA from 1 species